CGGGGAUAAUGAUGAUGAUGAUGAUGAUGAUGAUGAUGAUGAGCGUAUUUUCCAUCAUCCUUUUCUUCGUCAUCGUCAUCAUCAACAUUA
rnacentral:miRNA from 1 species